rnacentral:misc_RNA from 1 species
AACUUUCAAGCUAAAAGGAAGGAGGCUCAGCAGUGGGUUUCCAACCGUGCCUCCUUCCUUGGUUCACAAUGACAGUCCAACUUCUGCCAGUCCUGACUGUCAUUCAAGCCUUUUUGCUAUUUAAGAAUUUUGAGGAAGAAAACCGUCAUGUACUCAAAAUCCUGGUAAUCAGAAGUGU